UCAAGCUACAAAGGGCGCAUGGUGAAUGCCUUGGCACCAGGAGCCUACGAAGGACGCGAUAAGCUGCGAUAAGCUUCGGGUAGACGCAAAUAGUCUGUGAACCGAAGAUUUCCGAAUGGGGAAACCCACAAUGCUUGCAUUGUACUAUAAACUGAAUUCAUAGGUUUAUAGAGGUAAACCCGGGGAACUGAAACAUCUAAGUACCCGGAGGAAGAGAAAGAAACAUCGAUUUUCUUAGUAGCGGCGAGCGAAAGGGAAAGAGCCCAAACCAGGAACUUGUUCCUGGGGUAAGGGUAGACAUAACGGAAGGAAAUAAGUUAACUGAAGUGAGCUGGAAGGCUCCGCCAAAGAAGGUAAAAGCCCUGUAAGUGAAAAUUAAAGCUUCCAGUCUAUUCCAGAGUACCACGAGACACGUGAAACCUUGUGGGAAUGCGGGAGGACCACCUCCUAAGGCUAAAUACUACCUGGUGACCGAUAGUGAAGAAGUACCGUGAGGGAAAGGUGAAAAGAACCCCGGAAGGGGAGUGAAAUAGAACCUGAAACCGUGUGUCCACAACCGAUCGAAGCACUUUUACGUGCGACGAUGUGCUUUUUGUAGAACGAGCCAACGAGUUACGGUAUGCAGCAAGGUUAAGUACUUAAGGUACGGAGCCGAAGGGAAACCGAGUCUGAAUAGGGCGACUAGUUGCAUGCUGUAGACCCGAAACCGAGUGACCUAUCCAUGGCCAGGUUGAAGCGGAAGUAAAAUUCCGUGGAGGACCGAACCACGUUGGUGUUGAAAAACCAUGGGAUGAGCUGUGGAUAGCGGAGAAAUUCCAAUCGAACUCGGAGAUAGCUGGUUCUCCUCGAAAUAGCUUUAGGGCUAGCGUUGAGUAUGAGUAGUGGAGGUAGAGCACUGAAUGGGCUAGGGGCUGACAACAGUUACUGAACCCUAUCAAACUCCGAAUGCCAUAUACUUGAAUCUCAGCAGUCAGACUACGAAUGAUAAGAUCCGUGGUCAAAAGGGAAACAGCCCAGAUCAUCAGCUAAGGUCCCAAAGUGUAAGUUAAGUGGAAAAGGAUGUGGGAUUUCUAAGACAACUAGGAUGUUGGCUCAGAAGCAGCCACUCAUUUAAAGAGUGCGUAAUAGCUCACUAGUCGAGAGGUCCUGCGCCGAAGAUGUCCGGGGCUAAAACUUACCACCGAAGCUAUGGACUCGAAAGAGUGGUAGAGGAGCUUCCUGCAUGGGUUGAAGUCGCACCGUAAGGAGCGGUGGACUGUGCAGGAGUGAGAAUGUUGGCAUAAGUAGCGAGAAAUAAGUGAGAAUCUUAUUGGUCGAAAACCUAAGGUUUCCUGAGGAAGGUUCGUCCGCUCAGGGUUAGUCGGGACCUAAGCCCAGGCCGAAAGGCGUAGGCGAUGGACAAUCGGUUGAUAUUCCGAUACCGCAAAUUUGCGUUUGACAAAUGGGAUGACGCAGGAGGAUAGGAUGUGCACACUAUUGGAUGUGUGUCUAAGCACUUAGGCAGGCUGGAUUGGAAAAUCCGUUCAGUCAAUGCUGAGGUGUUACAGGGAUCCCUUUCGGGAGAAGUAUCUGAUUCCACGCUGCCAAGAAAAGUCUCUAUGGAGUAAGUUUGUGCCCGUACCGCAAACCGACACAGGUAGGUGAGGAGAGAAUCCUAAGACCAUCGGAAGAAUUGUUGUUAAGGAACUAGGCAAAUUAACUCCGUAACUUAGGGAUAAGGAGUGCCCCGAAAGGGGCCGCAGAGAAUAGGCUCAAGCAACUGUUUAUCAAAAACACAGGUCUCUGCUAAAGCGAAAGCUGAAGUAUAGGGGCUGACGCCUGCCCGGUGCUGGAAGGUUAAGGGGAAUACUUAGCGCAAGCGAAGGUAUGAACUUAAGCCCCAGUAAACGGCGGCCGUAACUAUAACGGUCCUAAGGUAGCGAAAUUCCUUGUCGGGUAAGUUCCGACCCGCACGAAUGGCGUAAUGAUUUGAGCACUGUCUCGACAACAAAUCCGGCGAAAUUGUAGUGCAAGUGAAGAUGCUUGCUACCCGCGAUUGGACGGAAAGACCCCGUAGAGCUUUACUGCAGUUUAGCAUUGAGUUUCGGUAUUGUCUGUACAGGAUAGGUGGGAGACUUGGAUAUUAGGGCGCCAGCCCUUUUGGAGUCGCCCUUGGGAUACCACCCUGACAGUACUGGAAUUCUAACCGGCGGCCAUGAAACUGGUCACGGGACAUUGUUAGGCAGGCAGUUUGACUGGGGCGGUCGCCUCCUAAAAUGUAACGGAGGCGCCC
rnacentral:rRNA from 1 species